rnacentral:rRNA from 1 species
CCUACGGGAGGCAGCAGUGAGGAAUAUUGGUCAAUGGGCGCGAGCCUGAACCAGCCAAGUAGCGUGAAGGAUGACUGCCCUACGGGUUGUAAACUUCUUUUAUAAAGGAUUAAAUUGAGGCACGUGGGCUUUUUUUUAUGUACUUUAUGAUUAAGGACGGGCUAAUUCCGUGCCAGCAGCCGCGGUAAUACGGAGGAUCCGAGCGUUAUCCGGAUUUAUUGGGUUUAAAGGGAGCGUAGAUGGGUUGUUAAGUCAGUUGUGAAAGUUUGCGGCUCAACCGUAAAAUUGCAAUUGAUACUGGCAGCCUGGAGUACAGUUGAGGUAGGCGGAAUUCGUGGUGUAGCGGUGAAAUGCUUAGAUAUCACGAAGAACUCCGAUUGCGAAGGCAGCCUACUAAACUGCCACUGACAUUGAUGCUCGAAAGUGUGGGUAUCAAACAGGAUUAGAUACCCUAGUAGUC